UUUUUUUUUUUUUUUUUUUUUUUUUUUUUAGUAGAAAUCCCUGGUCGUAUGCUUUCUGCCAAACGUUCUCUGACACACACACACACACAGCCCUGGAGAAAGCACUGAAUGUCAGUAAAACUGCCAACAACUGCUUCACCACCUGAUCUUCAAUGCUCGCCGGUGUUUUCCUUCGCCAACCACUCAAACUGAACCACACCACAAACGUCACAUGACAAAGUUUACAUAGGAAUCACCUCUGCACGUCAAACUGCUGCAUCCAGACACUGGGCAUUAGUGAGCUACAGUGGCUGCGUGAGAAGGAGUUACAGCUCAGGGUGUGUUCACACGGGUCAGAGUUGGGGUUAACUUAAAACCCUCUCCAUUUGGUCCUGGAUUGACAUCUGGACACCUGGACAUCACACAGAAUUAACCUUCAUCUGACCAAACUGCAUAGAGACGUGAACAAAAUAACAUCGUCCAGGGUGUACCCCGCCGCGAUGACGUUUUUUGCCAAAAGAACAAAAUGAGAAGACGAGCAAGUGUGAAGUCAAAGGUGCGGAGUCAGCAGCGUUGCUUUUUGAAAUAACGAGAUCUGUCAUGGGUAUGAAAAAAAUUGUCCAAUCAGAAGACGGUCUUUCUCCACGUGGUCCUGAAAGUCCUUCUGUGAUCCCCGAACACAUCAGGACAUUCAACCACAACCAAAUCAAUGUUUGUUUAUAUCUAUAACAAAGAAAACAAACUCCCAAGUGUGAACACACCCUUCGGCGUGGAACUUUUUACCCAUGAUGCACCUCACUGCUGUUACAGACGCAGCCGAAUUACUGCAAGUGAAAAGGAAGGGAAGUAACAAAGCGCAUAUAUUUAGCAUCCAUUCCAUCGUCACAUGUCAACAUGUUGCCUUACUGUUCUGAAUAAAGUGGAACCGUUGUGUACUGAGCUGCUCAUGUCAUGUUUCAGGCGUCAGGAUUCACUGAUGGAGGCGAAAAAAACAAAACCACUAAAAACCUGUGUCUGUCUUUAUCCUAGAAGGCAGUUCUGUGGUCAGUGUCCCCAGAGAGCGACGGUUAAAUCGCAGCCAUCAGUGAAUUCUGAUUCUGACCUUUGUUACAUUAUACUUGAUUAACACGGGAAUAUAAACAAACAUCAUUUAACUUCAUUAUCCUUUAUAAAUACUUUACAUUUUGUCUUCAUUCCAUUUUGCAGGAAAAGACAAAAACAAAGGGAAGAAAAAAAUCACAUACAGUUAGAGAGGCAUUAUAAGACAUUAGUUUUCAGGUUUUUCUUUGCGUUGUUUUGUAUUUAGUGAAUAUUAGUGGAUAAAAAUUAAAGUUAAUUUUUCACAAUUUCUUUUUUGUAAUUUACUGUGAAACAGUGAAACUCAUCCUUUGGGUCCAAUUGUGCUUCCUGGAUGAAGGAUAUCAGUCCUUGUUUACAUCUAUCAAAAAAUACAUAAUGCAUAGGAGUACUUUAACAUUAUUAUUAAUAUUAUUAUUUUUACCAUUUUCAUUGUUAUUAUCAUUACUACAGGAAAGGUUGAGCCAAAGUUCUUGCUGUAUUGGGAUGAAGCAGAGCUCUGUGACUUGUUUGUUAUUUUACUUGAACAAAGCAGUGUGACGAUGCUGACCAGUGUUUCUGAAACUGUUGAGAAACUUAAAAAUGAGCCAAGAGCUGCCACAUAUAGAAAAAAAACACUUGAAAGGAAGGGUGAGGUUGUUUUGUCUUCCAUAGUUUUGCUCCUCUUCGUUCUUUAUAUUCCUGUUAGCGGACGUGGAAAUCUAACAUUUGUUUCUUGGAUUUUACUGCAUCAUGUGUGGUGCUGCCUUCAAACAUAUAGAGGAAUGAUGAUGAUGAUGAUGAUGAUGAUGUUGGUGAUGAUGCUUUCUUCACUGGCUGCUGUAGCUUUGUUUGCUUUAUGGUCCUGUAAGUCGUCACCACUCACUCAUCCUCAAGCUGCUGUUUUAAAACAUACUUGUCGGACGGUCGUCUCACCUUUGUUUUUAUGGCUAAGGAAACAUUUACAGUAAACGCUUAUGAUUCUUGAUUUUCACAUAAGCGGAAAAAUUUGAAACUGUCGUCCAAGAAGUGGAAACAAAAACCCGGGAAUGGUGUGGAGCACAUGAUGCUUUGUACAAAUUUCUGUGUAUGUGUGUAAAUGAUCCAGAUUUGAACCAUUAAAAUACAAAUAUUUAUGAUGAUAAUGAUAAUGAUUAUUAUUGAUAUUGUUAUCACCACCAUGAGACGUCACUUCCACAGCCAAAGCCUGUCACAUGUUGCUUUAAGCCUCUCCAGACUGGACUGUAGGUGGUCUACGUGGUGGUCCCACAGUGGCCUGCUCUCUAGGCUUUAUGACGACAGAAGAUUUGUAGCCUGUUUCCCUCUGUACAGACGCCUGUGAUCAUAUCAGAGUAUAUAAAUACACACAGUAUAUAUUUAAGUUCCAACAAGUCACAUGGAUGCUUGGGGCAUAUAUGUACAAAGUGCUGGGUGUGUAUUGUACCGAUGAUGAUUUUCAUUUUCUUUUUCUUUUUUUAAAGAUUCGCUUUUGUUGAGUUAUGACGACUGUAUAGUGAUGUAUUAAACUUUGCAAGCAGUACCAUGAAACCUGGCGGCUCUUUUGAAUGUGUUUCUGAGUGUGUGUGUGUGUUCGUGCCAACACCUUUAUGCAUAUUUUUGCGCCAGAGUCAGACCCAGAAUAAGGGUCGGUGGUUAGAAGUCAAUUUUGUUACUCCGAUAUUACUUUAUUUUAAUAUGUAAAUUAAUUAAAUUGUACGUCCCCGGUGGCUCACUGUCUCCCCCUGCUGUUACAGGAGACCACACUACUACUACUGCCUAAGUGUUUUUAGCAUUGUGCUAAACGGAGAGCUGUGUCUCAAGGGUAGAACAUGAUAGCAGUCGCUUUUUCUUUUUUCGACGUGGUAACGUCACUGUGGCGGAAGUGGCGGCGUGUGAUGUCAGACGCUGAAAAAGUUUGCUAUGUGCCUUAAAAGCCACAGGUGUUUGAGAUUUUACGUGAUGGCGGAUCGACCUGGUCCGGGUGAACGACUCAGAUGGAAAGAUACGUCGAGGAUUUCUUCGCACGGAGACCAGGUCGACGUCAUCCGGCGUCAAACUGACCUGAAACAGCACAAGAUUGAUCAUCCUGAAGAUCUUCAACACAGUAGGGAGCUUCGUUUUUCUUAUUUUCUUUGCGGCCGCUGUGUCGCUGUGUUUCCUGCGGCCGCCGUGCUGCUGUGUUGUGCUAGGCCGCUGUGCCACGAUAUGUGUGUGUGGGUGAAACUUAGCAAAAAUAGCACCAUACCUUUACAAUUUAGGGCUCACAGGCAGUUUAAAUAAUCACACCAGUACCCAAUUUUGAUGUCCCGUCGCGGUCCUCAUCCACAACCUUGGGCGUUGCGAUUUUUUUUUCUACAAUUUCUGCGUUGUGAUCCUCGUCCACAAUUUUGCGCGUGGAUUUCCUGCUUCCGCGAGAAUUUUGGACGUUUUGGCUGCUGUCAUUUUCCCCGGCUGUCUCAUUUCCAUCCAGAGUGACAACCUGAAUUCCAGCUACUUCAAAAAACGUCAAGGACUCUAAAGGAUGUUACAUUUGUUUGCCUUUGUACUAUUAUCAAUGUAUACUGUACAUGUAAGUGUACUUGCCUUUGUACUUGUUGAUGUAUACAUGUAAAUGUACUUGCCUUUGUACUUGUUAAUGUAUACAUGUAAAUGUACUUGUUGAUGUAUACAUGUACCUUUGCUUAGACUAUUAGACUUUUUUUCAGUGUAUUUUCUUGUCAUCGCUGUCUGUGUGCACUUGUCCACCUCUGGUCUUUGUUUGCAUGAGCCUCAGUCUGAUCACCUUUAUCUGCAUGUCGUCUUUUGGAUGUGUUUAAGGCUGAGUGAUUGACAGGUCACCUGGGAGUUGACGUUCACUUAUGUUAAUUUCAUCCACUGGUGUCUAAUCGGGGUUAAUUGUAACACAGUUCUGUGGUGCAGGGUCUGGGGCUUAGUCUGUGAUUGGCUGGAUGUGGUAGGUUUCAGUCAGUUAACCAGGUAAGACUGGGCAUUUCCUGUCCCAGGUGGGUCAGUGCUGGAUCCAUGCAUGCUCUGGAAAUCUGGAUUGGAGGGUGUAUGUGGCCCAGGUGGACCGACUCCAGAUCAUCUCAGCCACAGGAUGUGUCCAGGAUUCUACAGACCAGAGCAGACGUUCAUUGGAUCUGGUCAAACACGACACCUGAACAGGACCAAGGUUAAAAGAAGAAGUGGACUCUCCUCUGAAGAUGACCACUAACUAGACAGACCUGAGACUGUGGAGACACAAUAAUCCCUGUUGUGGUCAGUUUGUUGUGUAGAAAACUUACUAGACUCAUUCAUGUUUAGGUCCUGGACCCAGACCCACCACAGCUGACGGGCGUUUCCAUUUUUUUUUAAAUCCCUGCUUGGCUGUAUUUGGACUUUUUGUCCCUCAUACCGUUGACCUUUAAGAUAAGGGUGACCUUUUAUGGAUAAUCUGACAUUUUGUCUUUGGUCACUGAUGACUUCAACUACACUCUUAAUCCCAGAAUGUUUGCCUUGCUGUAGUUUUGAAUCAGUCAGAGUUUAAUGAACUGGAUUUCUUUCACACUUCACUUCUGUCCUAUUCUCCUUCCACUCCUUCUUGGAGCUUCUGUAAGAAAUCCAGUCAUGAAUUCUUACUGAAUGUUGUACCAUGAUAUGCCGCUUCCAAAAUCAGACCUGGAUCCAUCUGCUUUUGUGAAACUGGUUCAUCUAUGGUACAACGUCAUCCUUAAAAAAAAAAAAAACCCAAAACACUAUCACUUAGUUAAUGUGAAGUACUUUAGCACUGAAUCAAUGAUGUAGUUCAUGACA